rnacentral:misc_RNA from 1 species
GUGAAUCAUCAAAUUUUUGAACGCAAAUUGCACUCUCUUCGGAGAGUAUGCCUGUUUGAGGGUCAGCCUAUAAAAAAUCGACAUCGUUGCUGUUUCGCGGUGGCGUUCGUCGGAAAUUGGGUUAUCUUAAAUCUUUGGUUUAUGAGACUUAUAAUUUUUUCUAUGUUUUUAUGUACGCUUCCAA